GCCUGGCUAGCUCAAUGGCUAGAGCGUGAGACUUUUAAUCUCAAGGUUGCGGGUUCGACCCCCGCGUCGGGCU
rfam:Metschnikowia bicuspidata var. bicuspidata NRRL YB-4993 METBIscaffold_6, whole genome shotgun sequence.